UACGAAGGGGGCUAGCGUUGUUCGGAAUUACUAGGCGUAAAGCGCACGUAGGCGGACAUUUAAGUCAGGGGUGAAAUCCCAGAGCUCAACUCUGGGACUGCCUUUGAUACUGGGUGUCUCGAGUAUGGAAGAGGUAAGUGGAAUUCCGAGUGUAGAGGCGAAAUUCGUAGAUAUUCGGAGGAACACCAGUGGCGAAGGCGGCUUACAGGUCCAUUACUGACGCUGAGGUGCGAAAGCGUGGGGAGCAAACAGG
rnacentral:rRNA from 1 species